AUUAAUACCUUAUAGUAAUACGACUUGGCAUCAAGAUGUAUUUAAAGAUUUAUCGGUGAAAGAUGAGCAUGCGUCCCAUUAGCUAGUUGGUAUGGUAACGGCAUACCAAGGCUACGAUGGGUAGGGGUCCUGAGAGGGAGAUCCCCCACACUGGUACUGAGACACGGACCAGACUCCUACGGGAGGCAGCAGUGAGGAAUAUUGGACAAUGGGCGCAAGCCUGAUCCAGCCAUGCCGCGUGCAGGAUGACGGUCCUAUGGAUUGUAAACUGCUUUUAUACAGGAAGAAACACCUCUACGUGUAGAGACUUGACGGUACUGUAAGAAUAAGGAUCGGCUAACUCCGUGCCAGCAGCCGCGGUAAUACGGAGGAUCCAAGCGUUAUCCGGAAUCAUUGGGUUUAAAGGGUCCGUAGGCGGUCAGAUAAGUCAGUGGUGAAAGCCCAUCGCUCAACGGUGGAACGGCCAUUGAUACUGUCUGACUUGAAUUAUUAGGAAGUAACUAGAAUAUGUAGUGUAGCGGUGAAAUGCUUAGAGAUUACAUGGAAUACCAAUUGCGAAGGCAGGUUACUACUAAUAUAUUGACGCUGAUGGACGAAAGCGUGGGUAGCGAACAGGAUUAGAUACCCUGGUAGUCCACGCCGUAAACGAUGGAUACUAGCUGUUGGGAGCAAUCUCAGUGGCUAAGCGAAAGUGAUAAGUAUCCCACCUGGGGAGUACGAACGCAAGUUUGAAACUCAAAGGAAUUGACGGGGGCCCGCACAAGCGGUGGAGCAUGUGGUUUAAUUCGAUGAUACGCGAGGAACCUUACCAAGGCUUAAAUGUAGAUUGACCGGUUUGGAAACAGAUCUUUCGCAAGACAAUUACAAGGUG
rnacentral:rRNA from 1 species